rnacentral:rRNA from 1 species
AUUGAACGCUGGCGGCAGGCUUAACACAUGCAAGUCGAGCGGUAGCACAGGGGAGCUUGCUUCCUGGGUGACGAGCGGCGGACGGGUGAGGAAUGUCUGGGAAACUGCCUGAUGGAGGGGGAGAACUACUGGAAACGGUAGCUAAUACCACAUAACGUCGCAAGACCAAAGAGGGGGACCUUCGGGCCUCUUGCCAUCCGAUCUGCCCAGGUGGGAUUUGCUAGUAGGUGGGGUAAUGGCUCACCUAGGCGACGAUCCCUAGCUGGUCUGAGAGGAUGACCAGCCACACUGGAACGGGGACACGGUCCAGGCUCCUGCGGGAGGCAGCAGUGGGGAAUGUUGCGCAAUGGGCGCGAGCAUGAUGCAGCCAUGCCGCGUGUGUGGAGAAGGCCUUCGGGUUGUGAAGCACUUUCAGCGGGGAGGAAGGUGGUGAGCUUAAUACGUUCAUCAAUUGACGUUACUCGCAGAAGAAGCACCGGCUAACUCCGUG